AGGAGGGGACGUGGGCGCAGCGUUGGGUUGAGAUCUGAGGCCGUAGGGACGGGUCAG
rfam:Fukomys damarensis contig99223, whole genome shotgun sequence.